rnacentral:rRNA from 1 species
UACGUAGGGCGCAAGCGUUAUCCGGAAUUAUUGGGCGUAAAGAGCUCGUAGGCGGUUUGUCGCGUCUGCCGUGAAAGUCCGGGGCUCAACUCCGGAUCUGCGGUGGGUACGGGCAGACUAGAGUGAUGUAGGGGAGACUGGAAUUCCUGGUGUAGCGGUGAAAUGCGCAGAUAUCAGGAAGAACACCGAUGGCGAAGGCAGGUCUCUGGGCAUUACUGACGCUGAGGAGCGAAAGCGUGGGGAGCGAACAGG